AUCCAAUUGUGGGUUUGAACAGCGAGGAUGCAGCCAUGUUCGUCGACGUAGUGGUUAUUGCGGGUAUAGGCACCGUCGGGCUGAUGGUCGCCUUUCUGGCCGGCUUCGGUUAUUUCAUUUGGAAGGAUUCGCACAAGGUCAAGGCCAAGGUUCUCGCCAAGACCAAGCAGGGCUGAGUCCUUCAGCAGCAGAGCACGCAAGGCAAUUUGGGGCGACUUCGGUCGCCUUUUUUUUUA
rnacentral:sRNA from 1 species